GAGGGUGUGUGUGGGGGAGGUCCUCCCAUACACACACCCUCACUCCCAUCCAUACACUCACCCUCUCUCACACACCCAACCUCCCACCUUUAAUGUGUGUGGAUGGGACUAAGGUUUUCUCAUUUCUUUCAGAUUGUGCGCCUCCGAGGUGAACGUCUGACUGAAGUGAACGUGUGGCUGGUCGAGAACUCCUCCAAACAGGUAAAGUACUUAUGACAAUAUAUAAUGUCUAUAUGCAAGUAUUUAUGAAUGUUAUGUUUUAAAGUUUUUUGUAUUCCAGGUUUGUUUGUGUGGCUGACUGGACCUACUACAAGGUGCUUCUUGCAGGUAAUAAAGAUACAUCAGUGAUGGUGAGGCCGUCACAUUACCAGCGGUUGUGGAUUUCUCAAUUCAACCUUUAUAUUGCAGACUCCACAUAAGGUAAAACACUUCCAUUCAGCAAUUGGUGUGCAGUGUCCAGAUUGUCAACAUUUAGUUCAGUAUGAUGUUACUUCUGGCCAGCUUAACCUGAGGAGAAAGUCAGUACAGUACACGAUUAGAUUUUGAAAAGGAAACUGCAAAAUCUCAUGUUGUUCUCCCGACCUCCGUAAAGUGUCAUUAAUGCAAGAACGAAUGUAAGUGUCGCCAAGACCAACACAUGUGGUAACUCCAACGAGAACCAGGCCAAUAAGGUAAGAAAUAAGGGAUUCCAACAUAUGGUGAGUCUGUUAGA